rnacentral:lncRNA from 1 species
AUUUAUGAGAAUGAAUGCAAUAAGGUUUUCAGCUGUACUAUAGUGUGCAAAAUACAACCUUUAUUUGUGCAGGUUCCCGUGCUGCAAGUGCAGUCGUAACCCCUGUGGAGAGGGACCCGACCCCAAGGAGAAAGUAGGGGCUGACGAGCUGCGUUUAAGUACGCUUUGCUGGUGCUUUUAGCUAUUUCAAAAGACGCAAGAAGUGGCUCGACAUCACUUGGCCAUAGGCUGCUCUUCCUCAUCUUAAUGAGCAUAGCUCUUGCAACACUGGCUCCGCCAAAAAACUAGGCGUAAAGUUCAAGCACCAUCCGGAACAUCAAGCAUCAAUAUCUGAUAUGCGACACUUUGCCUACUGGUCGUCAGAAGCUCGCAGAUGUUGAACAGCUGAUGGCGCAAGGAGAAUGCCAAUAUCUUCCUUGUACAUUUCAAAACAAUUCUUGAACAUGUAAUUCCCGUCCAGAAGUGUUACGUCCUUUAGUCAUCCUAGUGUGUUGCUCCUGAAAUGCCAAUAAAAAGUACAAUGUGAAAAUUU